AGUGAACGCUGGCGGUAGGCCUAACACAUGCAAGUCGAACGGCAGCACAGUAAGAGCUUGCUCUUACGGGUGGCGAGUGGCGGACGGGUGAGGAAUACAUCGGAAUCUACUUUUUCGUGGGGGAUAACGUAGGAAAACUUACGCUAAUACCGCAUACGACCUACGGGUGAAAGCAGGGGAUCUUCGGACCUUGCGCGAUUGAAUGAGCCGAUGUCGGAUUAGCUAGUUGGCGGGGUAAAGGCCCACCAAGGCGACGAUCCGUAGCUGGUCUGAGAGGAUGAUCAGCCACACUGGAACUGAGACACGGUCCAGACUCCUACGGGAGGCAGCAGUGGGGAAUAUUGGACAAUGGGCGCAAGCCUGAUCCAGCGAUACCGCGUGGGUGAAGAAGGCCUUCGGGUUGUAAAGCCCUUUUGUUGGGAAAGAAAAGCAGCAGGUUAAUACCCCGCUGUUCUGACGGUACCCAAAGAAUAAGCACCGGCUAACUUCGUG
rnacentral:rRNA from 1 species